AUGACCAAUAUUUUGUUCAGACUAGCAUUGACAGCAAUCCAGACACGCCCUUAGCCUCAUGCGCAACCUACACGGUUUUUUUAGAUGGGCACAGCCUACAAAAUUAGGUACGAGAGAAUACAGGAGUCGUUUAAGAGCAGCAUCUACACGUAUCAGAUGGCAGUGUGAUCAAGCAGCCCAAGGCCCAAGUCCAUAUGCACAGCACGCGGACGAAGCCUUUCAUGCCCAUGCGCUGCAGCGCUGAAGCGUCUCGCUCGGGAACGGGCAAUGCUAUUCCACGCGUGGGGAAGCGAUUCAGCAACUUUUCAAAUAGCUUCUCUGACUUUUCGUUUCUAAAUUUUUUUCUCUCCUGUAACUUCUUUUUCUGAAAAAGUUUUCCGGACAAAUUGUCCCACCCCUCUUCUUCUACUUCUACCAUGAACAAGAAGAUGGGCGGCACACUGCAGCAGCAGCAGCUGCUGCUUAAGCUGCUCUUCUUCUGUGUUGUCGCCCCACAGAAGGAUAUCACGGAGACUGUCAACAAGCAUCCAACUGGGAUCAUCUCACAAGGCUAGUUUUCAAGAAGCUGAGAAGAGAAUGAAGAGAAGAAGUACCGCAAGUAUUGGUGAUCCAGUUGGAGCUGAAGCUCAGUAGCAUCACUGAUGAUGCAGACUGCGAGUACUCCCUCUUCGAAGGCAAAAUGUCAAAGCUUAUCAAGAUAGGGCAGUUCAUGGUCGUGUGCAAUGUAGCUAGCUAUUGUUAUGCUUGUCAUCCUGGGUGUAGUGAUGGUUGUAAAGUGAGCUCUUGUUGUAUUGAAUUGUUGCUCGUACAUGAGAACAAAAAUAUAAUUUCAUUGUUUAUGACAUUUGAUA